rnacentral:rRNA from 1 species
UAGGGAAUCUUCCGCAAUGGGCGAAAGCCUGACGGAGCAACGCCGCGUGAGUGAAGAAGGAUUUCGGUUCGUAAAGCUCUGUUGUUAGGGAAGAAUGAUUAUGUAGUAACUAUACAUAGUAGAGACGGUACCUAACCAGAAAGCCACGGCUAACUACGUGCCAGCAGCCGCGGUAAUACGUAGGUGGCAAGCGUUGUCCGGAAUUAUUGGGCGUAAAGCGCGCGCAGGUGGUUUAAUAAGUCUGAUGUGAAAGCCCACGGCUCAACCGUGGAGGGUCAUUGGAAACUGUUAAACUUGAGUGCAGGAGAGAAAAGUGGAAUUCCUGGUGUAGCGGUGAAAUGCGUAGAGAUUAGGAGGAACACCAGUGGCGAAGGCGGCUUUUUGGCCUGUAACUGACACUGAGGCGCGAAAGCGUGGGGAGCAAACAGGAUUAGAUACCCUGGUAGUCCACGCCGUAAACGAUGAGUGCUAAGUGUUGGUCUCAUAAGAGAUCAGUGCUGCAGCUAACGCAUUAAGCACUCCGCCUGGGGAGUACGACCGCAAGGUUG